rnacentral:tRNA from 1 species
GAUUCCGUAGUGUAGCGGUUAUCACGUUCGCUUUACACGCGAAAGGUCCCCGGUUCGACCCGGGCGGAAUUA